rnacentral:rRNA from 1 species
GAUAAACGCUGGCGGCGUGCAUGAGACAUGCAAGUCGAACGAAGGAUCGGGCUUGCUCGAUCCUUAGUGGCGGACGGCUGAGUAACGCGUAGGUGACCUACCCCGAAGUGGGGAAUAACUGCCCGAAAGGGUGGCUAAUACCGCAUGUGGUCGCACGUUCAUUCGUGCGAGUAAAGCCGCAAGGCGCUUCGGGAGGGGCCUGCGUCCGAUUAGCUCGUUGGUGGGGUAAUGGCUUACCAAGGCGACGAUCGGUAGGUGGUCUGAGAGGACGAUCACCCAGACUGGGACUGAGACGCGGCCCAGACUCCUACGGGAGGCAGCAGUCGGGAAUUUUGCUCAAUGGGGGAAACCCUGUAGCAGCAACGCCGCGUGAGGGAUGAAGGCCUUCGGGUUGUAAACCUCUUUUGUCAGGGACGAUGAUGACGGUACCUGGCGAAUAAGCCACGGCUAACUACGUG